CAGUUUCAUCUUCUCACCUUUAUCUGCGGCGGCCUGCAAAUCUUUCUUGAAUUUCAAAUUCAUGACUUGCUUCUCCAUCUUGCUUAUUGUAGCCCUGUAUUAUUGUUCUUUAGCCAACCAGUCCCAUUGCUCUUGCGAUGAUUCGACGAAUUCCUGGAAAUGAGGCCUUUUGGUUGGCCUCUCGAACUCAAUUUCUCUCUUGUACCAAGCAAGGUAUCCUGG
rnacentral:lncRNA from 1 species